AUACAGCUGACGAGUUUCUAGUAGAACGAAACGCGCUUCCUGGAU
rnacentral:hammerhead_ribozyme from 1 species